rnacentral:lncRNA from 1 species
CUACUUAAGUGAAGUAGUAGAAGAAAAUACUCCACCAAAAAUGGAAAAAGAAGGCUUGGAGAUAAUGAUUGGGAAGAAGAAAGGCAUCCAGGGUCAUUACAAUUCUUGUUACUUAGACUCAACCUUAUUCUGCUUAUUUGCUUUUAGUUCUGUUCUGGACACUGUGUUACUUAGACCCAAAGAAAAGAACGAUGUAGAAUAUUAUAGUGAAACCCAAGAGCUACUGAGGACAGAAAUUGUUAAUCCUCUGAGAAUAUAUGGAUAUGUGUGUGCCACAAAAAUUAUGAAACUGAGGAAAAUACUUGAAAAGGUGGAGGCUGCAUCAGGAUUUACCUCUGAAGAAAAAGAUCCUGAGGAAUUCUUGAAUAUUCUGUUUCAUCAUAUUUUAAGGGUAGAACCUUUGCUAAAAAUAAGAUCAGCAGGUCAAAAGGUACAAGAUUGUUACUUCUAUCAAAUUUUUAUGG